rnacentral:rRNA from 1 species
CCUACGGCGGGGCUGCAGUGGGGAAUAUUGGACAAUGGGCGAAAGCCUGAUCCAGCCAUGCCGCGUGUGUGAAGAAGGCCUUCGGGUUGUAAAGCACUUUCAGUGGGGAAGAAAGCCUUGGGGCUAAUACCCUCGAGGAAGGACAUCACCCACAGAAGAAGCACCGGCUAACUCCGUGCCAGCAGCCGCGGUAAUACGGAGGGUGCGAGCGUUAAUCGGAAUUACUGGGCGUAAAGCGCGCGUAGGCGGUCUGAUAAGCCGGUUGUGAAAGCCCCGGGCUCAACCUGGGAACGGCAUCCGGAACUGUCAGGCUAGAGUGCAGGAGAGGAAGGUAGAAUUCCCGGUGUAGCGGUGAAAUGCGUAGAGAUCGGGAGGAAUACCAGUGGCGAAGGCGGCCUUCUGGACUGACACUGACGCUGAGGUGCGAAAGCGUGGGUAGCAAACAGGAUUAGAUACCCCAGUAGUC